rnacentral:misc_RNA from 1 species
GAUUCUUAAGGGAGGUCUACAUAUAUUGGGUCUGUAAUCAGUAACCUCAAAAAGUUCUCUAGCAACAAAGCAAAUGCUACUUCAGCAAUUCACAAUCCGGUUAAUGCAAUUGUGCAGCCCUCAAAUACCCUAUUCAACGAUUUGCAUUGAGUGCCAUCAGAAUGUUGUUUCCACCAGGAAGGUAUGCUACGUUGGGUGAUUUUGCCAGAGUUCCAGCAAUUUCUCUUGAUGCCUCAAUCCUCCUUAGCUCAAUUAACCCCAUACCAGCCUUUGAAGUUGCAUCAGA